GAAUCUUUUACAUGGAAAUGCCAAUCGAACUCGGAGCUAGCUGGUUCUCCCCGAAAUGCGUUGAGGCGCAGCGGUUGACGAGCCAUGAGCUGUCUAGGGGUAAAGCACUGUAUCGGUGCGGGCUGCGAGAGCGGUACCAAAUCGUAGCAAACUAAGAAUACUAGGCAUGUCUUUCCGUCAACCAGUGAGACAGUGGGGGAUAAGCUCCAUUGUCAAGAGGGAAACAGCCCAGAUCACCAGCUAAGGCCCCUGAAUGAUCGCUAAGUGGAAAAGGAGGUGAGAAUGCCGAAACAGCCAGAAGGUUUGCUUAGAAGCAGCCAUCCUUUAAAGAGUGCGUAAUAGCUCACUGGUGGAGCGUUCUUGCGCCGAAAAUUUACGGGACUAAGCGAUCUGCCGAAGCUGUGGGAUACCGGCACAAAUAGCUGGUAUCGGUAGGGGAGCGUUCCGCCUUAGGGUGAAGCAUUGGUGUAAACCGGUGUGGACGAAGCGGAAGUGAGAAUGUCGGCUUGAGUAACGCAAACAUUGGUGAGAAUCCAAUGCCCCGAAAACCUAAGGGUUCCUUCACUAGGUUCGUCCAUGGAGGGUUAGUCGGGUCCUAAGGCUAGGCCGAAAGGCGUCGUCGAUGGGAAACAGGUUAACAUUCCUGUACUUCUUCUUGGUUGGCACCGAGGGACGAAGGAGGCACGAGGUGACCAAAAUUGGAUUUUGGUGGAAAUGGCUGAGGCGAGGAGAGAUAGAAGAGAAACUAUUCUUGAGCUGAACCAUGAUACGGCCUCAUUAUUAGCUGCAACCUCCGGGGAGUGGCUUUGUGGGGUUCACUUUUCUCUGUCAAACUUCCUAGAAAAGCUCGAACUGCUGCAACACCAAGAAGGACCCGUACCCGAAACCGACACAGGUAGGUGGGUAGAGAAUACCUAGGGGCGCGAGACAACUCUCUCUAAGGAACUCGGCAAAAUGGCCCCGUAACUUCGGGAGAAGGGGUGCCCCCGCAAGGGGGCCGCAGUGACCAGGCCCAGGCGACUGUUUACCAAAAACACAGGUCUCCGCUACGUCGCAAGACAAGAUAUGGGGGCUGACGCCUGCCCGGUGCCGGAAGGUGAAGGAAGUUGGUUAUUCUUCGGAAGAAGCUGGCGACCGAAGCCCCGGUGAACGGCGGCCGUAACUAUAACGGUCCUAAGGUAGCGAAAUUCCUUGUCGGGUAAGUUCCGACCCGCACGAAAGGCGUAACGAUCUGGGCACUGUCUCAGAGAGAGACUCGGUGAAAUAGACAUGUCCGUGAAGAUGCGGACUUCCUACACCUGGACAGAAAGACCCUAUGAAGCUUUACUGUAACCUGGAAUUGGGUUUGGGCCCCUUUUGCGCAGCCUAGGUGGGAGGCUAUGAGAGCUCUCUUCCGGGAGAGCUGGAGCCAUCAGUGAGAGACCACUCUGGAGGGGCUAGAAUUCUAAUGGUGCUCCUUGAAACAGGACACUUGACAGUUUCAGGUGGGCAGUUUGACUGGGGCGGUCACCUCCUAAAAGGUAACGGAGGUGUGCAAAGGUUCCCUCAGGCUGGACGGAAAUCAGCCGUAGAGUGUAAAGGCAUAAGGGAGCUUGACUGCAAGACCUACAAGUCGAGCAGGGGCGAAAGCCGGCCUUAGUGAUCCGACGGUGCCGAGUGGAAGGGCCGUCGCUCAACGGAUAAAAGUUACUCUAGGGAUAACAGGCUGAUCUUCCCCAAGAGUUCACAUCGACGGGAAGGUUUGGCACCUCGAUGUCGGCUCAUCGCAACCUGGGGCGGUAGUACGUCCCAAGGGUUGGGCUG
rnacentral:rRNA from 2 species